GGCGGCGUGGAUAAGACAUGCAAGUCGAACGGGAACUUCAGUUGUAGCAAUACAGUUGAAGUUCUAGUGGCGAACGGGUGCGUAACACGUGGGCAAUCUGCCGAGAAGUGGGGGAUAGCUCGCCGAAAGGCGAAUUAAUACCGCAUGUGAUUAGUUAAGACAUCUUAGCGACAUCAAAGCCGGGGCAACCUGGCGCUUUUUGAGGAGCCCGCGGCCUAUCAGCUAGUUGGUGAGGUAACGGCUCACCAAGGCUAUGACGGGUAGCUGGUCUGAGAGGACGACCAGUCACACUGGAACUGAGACACGGUCCAGACACCUACGGGUGGCAGCAGUCGAGAAUUUUUGACAAUGGGGGAAACCCUGAUCGAGCGACGCCGCGUGGAGGAUGAAGGUCUUCGGGUUGUAAACUCCUGUCAUUUGAGAACAAGGCGCCGGUAUUAACUGUACCGGCGUUGAUAGUAUCAGAAGA
rnacentral:rRNA from 1 species